CACCCCCUCAGCGCUCGCAGGAUCAUCCUCCUGUGAGCGCCCGCCAGGCUGUGCCCUAAGCCCGGGGACAUGGACUUAGACAGACCUGUGUCCAUCUGUCUAUUCCCUGUCCCCAUUACUUACUACUGAAUGGGCGGGCACACUGGCACAUGGGAACACACAGGCACCAAGGUCAUCAUCGGGUGCCAAGAGCAGUCGGCCAGAGGAUGACUAGGCCUACUUUUGGAGCUGAGGAUGGGAACUAAGGCAGGCAUGGGGCUGAGCGUAUGUCUGCGCUGCGCACCCUGACAGCCUCCAAGCGCUGGGAGGCGCUGCACUUGCGGGCGUCGCUGCUGAGCCGCGACCCAGACGCCCUGCUUUCCCCACCGUCCCAGGGACCUGUGGCACCUACAGCUGGACCUGGAGCGGCCGUCACGACACGGUGGACAUGUGGGAGCUGGUGGAGGAGGUGGUGGAGGAGGAGGAGACAUAGACAUAGACUCUAGAUAGAGGAGGAUGCUGGAGGUCUGGGAACUGGUGGAGGAGGUGAUGGAGGAGGUGGAGGAGGAAGGGGGCCAUGGCUCUGCACCCCCAUCCUACCCUUGCACCCCAGCACAGACGAGCAGGCUGCCAUGACAUGGUGGACAUCCAGGAGACGAGGGAACUGUUGGAGGAGGUGAUGGAGGAGCAGGAGGAGGAUGAGGAGGAGGCGGAGGACGGGAGAAAUGGGGGUGAUAUUACUGCACCCCCAACACCACCUCCACCCUCACCUGUACCACCCUAAAGCCAUAUGAAAAGUCACCAUGAGGCCCUAGACUGCCAUGACAACUGACAACUGGUGGAAGAGGAGGAGGAGGAGGAGGAGGAGGAGGAGGAGGAGGAGGAGGAGGAAGCGGGUAAUGGUACUGCGCCCAUAUCCUCACCUGCACUUCACUAAAGAAGAGGGUGCUGGAGGUUUCGGAACAGGUGGAGGAGAUGGAAGAGGAGGAGAAGGAGGAGGGUAAUGGUACUGCACCCCUACCAUCACCACCACCACCACCACCCUCCCCUUGGACUGCACUAAGGCCAUAGGACAAGGCCUCCGCUACACGAUGCAGAUAAUGGUGGAUGAGGAAGGAGGUGCCACCCCCAACCUUCAUCUGCACCCAGAUGCAACCCCCCACAGGCUAGAUAUGGCUGCAGCCAAGGGGCCCCUACCUACCAGGGGCCCCCACGGGCUAGUUAUGGCUGCAGCCAAGGGGCCCCCACCUGCCAGGGGCCCCCACAGGCUAGUUAUGGCUGCAGCCAAGGGCCCCCCACCUGCCAGGGGCCCCCACAGGCUAUAUAUGGCUGCAGCCUAGGGGCCCCCACAGGCUAGAUAUGUCUGCAGCCUAGGGGCCCCCACCUGCCAGGGGCCACCACAGGCUAGAUAUGGCUGCAGCCUAGGGGGCCCCCCACCUGCCAGGGCCCCCCACGGGCUAGAUAUGGCUACAGCCUAGGGCCCCCACCACAAGCUAGAUAUGGUUGCAGCCUAGGGGCCCCCACAGGCUAGAUAUGGCUGCAGCCUAGGGCCCCCACCACAGGCUAGAUGUGGUUGCAGCCUAGGGGCCCCCACAGGCUAGAUAUGUCUGCAGCCUAGGGCCCCCACCACAGGCUAGAUGUGGUUGCAGCCUAGGGGCCCCCACAGGCUAGAUAUGUCUGCAGCCUAGGGGCCCCCACCUGCCAUGGGCCCCCACAGGCUAGAUAUGGCUGCAGCCUAGAGCCCCCCCACCUGCCAGGGCUGGAUUAAUGCACAGGCUAGAUAUGGAGGAAGACUAGGGCCCCUCACUCCAAGACAAGUGAGUCAGUGGAAAGUAUGCCAAACAGAAACCAUAUGUAUCACACCACUGCACACAUACUGUUAAGAGGAGCCUGCAACACCCCCCACCCUGGAGACCUUCUCUGCGAUAUCCAAGUCAUCACCACAAGCGGUCUGAUAGAAAGACUGAAACAAAAAACAAAUUAAUUAAAAAUUAAACUAUAAAGAAAAACCAGAAGCAA